GCGAGUGGCGAACGGGUGAGUAAUACAUCGGAACGUGCCCUGUAGUGGGGGAUAACUAGUCGAAAGAUUAGCUAAUACCGCAUACGACCUGAGGGUGAAAGUGGGGGACCGCAAGGCCUCAUGCUAUAGGAGCGGCCGAUGUCUGAUUAGCUAGUUGGUGAGGUAAAGGCUCACCAAGGCGACGAUCAGUAGCUGGUCUGAGAGGACGAUCAGCCACACUGGGACUGAGACACGGCCCAGACUCCUACGGGAGGCAGCAGUGGGGAAUUUUGGACAAUGGGCGAAAGCCUGAUCCAGCAAUGCCGCGUGUGUGAAGAAGGCCUUCGGGUUGUAAAGCACUUUUGUCCGGAAAGAAAUGGCUCUGGUUAAUACCUGGGGUCGAUGACGGUACCGGAAGAAUAAGGACCGGCUAACUACGUGCCAGCAGCCGCGGUAAUACGUAGGGUCCAAGCGUUAAUCGGAAUUACUGGGCGUAAAGCGUGCGCAGGCGGUUGUGCAAGACCGAUGUGAAAUCCCCGAGCUUAACUUGGGAAUUGCAUUGGUGACUGCACGGCUAGAGUGUGUCAGAGGGGGGUAGAAUUCCACGUGUAGCAGUGAAAUGCGUAGAGAUGUGGAGGAAUACCGAUGGCGAAGGCAGCCCCCUGGGAUAACACUGACGCUCAUGCACGA
rnacentral:rRNA from 1 species